GUGGAUUAGAUACCCUGGUAGUCCACGCCGUAAACGAUGCUAACUCGUUUUUGGAUCUUCGGAUUCAGAGACCAAGCGAAAGUGAUAAGUUAGCCACCUGGGGAGUACGUUCGCAAGAAUGAAACUCAAAGGAAUUGACGGGGGCCCGCACAAGCGGUGGAUUAUGUGGUUUAAUUCGAUGAUACGCGAGGAACCUUACCAAGACUUAAAUGGGAAAUGACAGGUUUGGAAACAGACCCUUCUUCGGACAUUUUUCAAGGUGCUGCACGGUCGUCGCCAGCU
rnacentral:rRNA from 1 species